UGAUUCCCGUCGAGCAAGAGCUAGCCACUCACUUGUAGCGAGUCUUGGAGGGUGUUGGGUAACCGGCACCUUUAAGCGUAGACAGUUAGAUUGUGGGCCGAAAGCCAAUUAAGGUUGAAGGAUAUAGCUCCGAAAUACCAAAACGAGAAGGCUGAUGUAUUUGACAGUAUAGAAAGCAACAUUCUUUUCCUCGAAAUGGCAAGAAGGAAAGAGCUUCUCCGGAGUCGAUGAUCC
rfam:Bacillus wakoensis JCM 9140 DNA, contig:contig_80.